GGUUAAGUUAGAAAGGGCGCACGGUGGAUGCCUUGACACUAGGAGUCGAUGAAGGACGGGACUAACGCCGAUAUGCUUCGGGGAGCUGUAAGUAAGCUUUGAUCCGAAGAUUUCCGAAUGGGGAAACCCACUAUACGUAAUGGUAUGGUAUCCUUACCUGAAUACAUAGGGUAUGGAAGACAGACCCAGGGAACUGAAACAUCUAAGUACCUG
rnacentral:rRNA from 4 species